GACGAACCGUCCAAACGUUAUUCGGAAUCACUGGGCUUAAAGGGUGCGUAGGCGGCGCGGAAAGUUGGGUGUGAAAUCCCUCGGCUCAACCGAGGAAUUGCGCCCAAAACUUCCGUGCUCGAGGAAGAUAGAGGUGAGCGGAGCUUAGGGUGGAGCGGUGAAAUGCGUUGAUAUCCUAAGGAACACCGGUGGCGAAAGCGGCUCACUGGAUCUUUUCUGACGCUGAGGCACGAAAGCUAGGGUAGCGAACGGG
rnacentral:rRNA from 1 species